rnacentral:rRNA from 1 species
UACGGGGGGGGCAAGCGUUGUUCGGAAUUACUGGGCGUAAAGGGCUCGUAGGUGGCCAACUAAGUCAUACGUGAAAUCCCUCGGCUUAACCGGGGAACUGCGUCUGAUACUGGAUGGCUUGAGGUUGGGAGAGGGAUGCGGAAUUCCAGGUGUAGCGGUGAAAUGCGUAGAUAUCUGGAGGAACACCGGUGGCGAAGGCGGCAUCCUGGACCAAUUCUGACACUGAGGAGCGAAAGCUAGGGGAGCAAACGGG